AUGCCAACACCAAAGAGGCCUACGCUGCAUCCUCCCUCCCACCGCUGGGCAGAGCUGACCACAACAUCCUGCAUCUCCUGCCUGUGUAUAAACCUGUUGUACACAGGCAGCCGGUGGGUGGUGCCCCGCACAGUGAAGAGGUGGACAGCUGAGAGCGAGGAGGCUCCCAGGGACUGUUUUAACACCACUGUGUGGACGGAGCUCUGCGACCCACAUGGGGAGGACAUUAACGCAAUAACAGACUGCGUAACGGGCUACAUCAACUUCUGCUGUGAAAACACCGUUCCCACCAGGCGGGUUCGGUGGGUCACCUCUGAUAUUAAAGCUCUGCUAAAGGAGGAGAAGAGAGCAUUUAAAUCAGGAGACAGGGAGGAGCUGAGGAGGGUGCAGAAGGAGCUGAGGAGGAAAAUCCGUGAGGGGAAGUCCAGCUACAGGAGGAAGAUGGAGGAGCAGCUGCAGCAGAACAAUGUCAGUGAGGUGUGGAGAAGCCUGAAAACCAUCUCAGGCUUCAAAGCUCCACACCCACAGGCUGAGGGGGACCUGAGCUGGGUCAACGAGCUGAACUCACACUUUAAUAGGUUUGACCAAGCACCCACUCACACCUCCCAGCAGCUGCCUCCGAACCUCUUGUCACCUCACACCACUGGAUUACCAGCCCCCACAGCCCUUCACACCUUUACACAAAGCCCUCUACCCUCAGCCCUGACGACACACACUGAGUCACUUCCUCAACCCCUCACUUCACACCACACUGAGACACUCCCUCAACCCCUAUCCUUCUCCAGCACCCAGGUGAGAAGUGAGAAGGUCAGGAAGAUCAAGGCCAGGAAAGCAGCUGGACCAGACGGCAUCAGCUCCAGACUCCUUAAGUCCUGUGCAGGCGAACUGUGUGGAGUUAUGGAGCAUGUCUUCAACCUGAGCCUCAAACUGAGGGUGGUACCACAGCUCUGGAAGACCUCCUGCGUGGUACCAGUGCCCAAGACACCGCACGCCAAAGACCCCAGCAGCUUCAGACCAGUGGCUCUGACAUCACACCUGAUGAAGACACUGGAGAGACUGGUCCUGGGUCACCUCCGCUCUGCAGUGGGAACCUACCUGGACCCGCUGCAGUUCGCCUACCGACACGGCAUAGGAGUAGACGACGCCGUCAUCUUCCUCCUACAUCGAGCCCUUUCCCACCUAGAGAAGCCCGGCAGCACUGUGAGGAUCAUGUUCUUUGACUUCUCCAGUGCCUUCAACACCAUCCAGCCGGUGCUUCUGAAACACAAACUGGAGGAGGCUGGUGUGGACCUUCAUCUGACAGAGUGGAUUAUGGACUAUCUCACAAACAGGCCUCGGUUCCUGAUCAAUGCAGGGAAAACGAAGGAGAUGGUGGUGGAUUUCCGCAGACAGCAGCCUGCUGUCAUACCACCGAUGCACAUCCAGGGAAGGGACAUUGAGAGAGUGGACUCUUACAAGUACCUGGUUGUGCAUCUGACCAAUAAACUGGACUGGACUCAUAACAUGGAUGCACUGUACAGGAAGGGUAUGUGUGGUCUGCUGGAGCAGCAGCAUCACAGUGAGGGACAGGAAGAGACUGGACAGGAUCAUCAGAAAGUCCAGCUCGGUCCUGGGCUGCACUCUGGACACGGUGCAGGAGGUGGUGAGAGAAGGGUCCUGGCUAAACUGACAUCCAUCAUGGACCAGGACUCUCACCCACUGGAGGACUCACUGUCUGCUCUGAAGCAGCUUCAGUAG
ensembl:lncRNA